UGCUUUGUGUUGUCAUCUCUUCAGUUAGAC
rnacentral:piRNA from 1 species